rnacentral:lncRNA from 1 species
GUUUAGGAAUCAUUUUUGGCCCAUCAAUGUAGAGAAGAUAACACACAAUCAAUUAAUAAAUCUUAUACAAUCUAGGUUGGUAUAAGAUUAUGUUUCUUAAUUCAAGUCCCUAUAUUUCUAAAUUAACAAUAUUUUAAAGGUGGAGAUGAUGGAUCAAUUUCUACGAGAUUUGAAACUUGAGAUUCAAUGAAAGAUGGAGCUAAAGGAUCCAUAAACAUUCAAAGAGACAAUUCAGAUUACAAAGAAGGUUGAUGCUAUAGAUUUCAAAAAUCAUGGAGCAAGACCUAUAGUACAAAGUCUUAUACUGCUAUCUAAUAUUAUAGCAUAAAAACCAAUGGCAAUGAAGAUUGAUGUUCUACAAGGAUUUUUGACGCCACAAAGACGAUAAAUAUUGGUACAAAAAAGAUUCUAUUUC